GACGAACGCUGGCGGCGCGCCUAACACAUGCAAGUCGAACGAGAGAUGAGGAGCUUGCUCUUCAAAUCGAGUGGCGAACGGGUGAGUAACGCGUGAGGAACCUGCCUCAAAGAGGGGGACAACAGUUGGAACGACUGCUAAUACCGCAUAAGCCCACGGCUCGGCAUCGAGCAGAGGGAAAAGGAGCAAUCCGCUUUGAGAUGGCCUCGCGUCCGAUUAGCUAGUUGGUGAGGUAACGGCCCACCAAGGCAACGAUCGGUAGCCGGACUGAGAGGUUGAACGGCCACAUUGGGACUGAGACACGGCCCAGACUCCUACGGGAGGCAGCAGUGGGGAAUAUUGGUCAAUGGACGAGAGUCUGAACCAGCCAAGUAGCGUGAGUGAAGAAGUAUUUCGGUAUGUAAAGCUCUAUCAGCAGGGAAGACAGUGACGGUACCUGACUAAGAAGCUCCGGCUAAAUACGUG
rnacentral:rRNA from 1 species